rnacentral:lncRNA from 1 species
CGAAGUGCGCAGCAAAUAAGAUGAGUAGCCUAUAGGCCCAUGUCCAUAGUCCAGGGCAACGGAGGGGGUUACCCUGGCGCCGUGUUACCCCUCCUGCUGGGUAGGAACUUACAAGGGGGUUACCAAUGGGCUACGGGGGGUUGAAGGUGGGUAACCGAUGGGUAACCCAUGGGUUACCGACCCAAUCAGUGCCUUAGGGCUGCUGCCACGCUGGGCGCCACUGCUGCCGCCACGCUGGGUGUCGCUGCUGCCGCCACGCUGGCCGCCACUGCUGCCGCCAUGCUGGCCGAUGCUGCUGCUGCUGCCGCUGGGCUUCAGGCUUUCGUAGGUCGCAGUCAGCACCUUGCUGAUGCGACCACUGCUAUGAAAUGCAGCCAUCUCUGGCGGGUAGGCAUCCAGGAACUUCUGCUGAUCCAGGAUGGGGGCGUGAGAGAGGAUGUUGCGCAGCAACCUGUGGAACCAGCGAAGCCCAACCUUGACGUCAGUCUGAGCCCUGUCGUCCCGCUCAAAAUUGGUCUUGGUGCCGCGGCUGUUGCAGCGGUGGUCCCGGACCUGCAGGUAGAUGGAGCACCGGGGCCGUGAUCAACGCAGUUGCAUGGGAAGCAGGGAUGUACAUGCCAGUGGCAUUGCGGCCCGGCCCUGUUGGCUGGCUGCAGUCCCCAUGAUGACUCCAGCUGUUCGGACAAGCGUCAUGCCUGGAAUUCGACAGGUGCUGCACUCUGACCCCUUGUUCCGUUUGCCUGCCCUCUUGGUGCCUGGUUGGGUUGUCUUGGUCGCCCCUCUAACGGUCCUUACUACAUUUCGCUUGGCAGGGUGACUUGGGAGGCAGUGAGGGUGAGUUUGCGUGCUGAAGCCCAUCUCCUUCGUAUGAUGCGUUUGGCUCAAGUCGCUACAAUCUUGCCAACACAGACGGCAUGCAUUGAGUGCGGAUUUAGCCGGCAUCAUAUUAUUAAGAAUCGCCUGACGAACCGGCUAAAGCUGGAAACUGUUGAUUCGCUACUUCGUGUGGGGAUGUUGGGACCUGCUGCUGAUACCGGGGUGAAGCCACUGAUUGAUCAGGCUGCUGAGAUCUACUCGUGUAAGGGCUAUACAGGCAUUAUUCACAAGUUGUUUUCUGACGUUAGCAAAAUUAAUUUGGAUCCAUAUGGAGAGGAUGAUAAUGAGGAGGUUGCGACCGACCCAGAGAUUGAAGUACUGGUACAAGCAACAUACCCCACUAGUGACGAUGAGGCUUUUAGUGACAGUGACUACGAGACCGACGUAGAACGAGAUACCGAUGAGUCGUGCAUGGAUGAGGAUUUUGAUGAUGAGGAGGAGGACGAGAAAGAGGAGCAGAAGGGAUGGGCGGCCACGGCGGCCAAGGCGCUUGGCUUUCGCUGAGUGUGCCAUGUCCCCGUGUGUAAUGGUUCACGAGAAAAUAACGAUAAUAACGAUUUANNNNNNNNNNNNNNNNNNNNNNNNNNNNNNNNNNNNNNNNNNNNNNNNNNNNNNNNNNNNNNNNNNNNGGCCCAUGUCCAUAGUCCAGGGCAACGGAGGGGGUUACCCUGGGGCCGUGUUACCCCUCCUGCUGGGUAGGAACUUACAAGGGGGUUACCAAUGGGCUACAGGGGGUUGAAGGUGGGUAACCGAUGGGUAACCCAUGGGUUACCGACCCAAUCAGUGCCUUAGGGCUGCUGCCACGCUGGGCGCCACUGCUGCCGCCACGCUGGGUGUCGCUGCUGCCGCCACGCUGGCCGCCACUGCUGCCGCCAUGCUGGCCGAUGCUGCUGCUGCUGCCGCUGGGCUUCGGGAUUUCGUAGGUCGCAGUCAGCACCUUGCUGAUGCGACCACUGCUAUGAAAUGCAGCCAUCUCUGGCGGGUAGGCAUCCAGGAACUUCUGCUGAUCCAGGAUGGGGGCGUGACAGAGGAUGUUGCGCAGCAACCUGUGGAACCAGCGAAGCCCAACCUUGACGUCAGUCUGAGCCCUGUCGUCCCGCUCAAAAUUGGUCUUGGUGCUGCGGCUGUUGCAGCGGUGGUCCCGGACCUGCAGGUAGAUGGAGCACCGGGGCCGUGAUCAACGCAGUUGCAUGGGAAGCAGGGAUGUACAUGCCAGUGGCAUUGCGGCCCGGCCCUGUUGGCUGGCUGCAGUCCCCAUGAUGACUCCAGCUGUUCGGACAAGCGUCAUGCCUGGAAUUCGACAGGUGCUGCACUCUGACCCCUUGUUCCGUUUGCCUGCCCUCUUGGUGCCUGGUUGGGUUGUCUUGGUCGCCCCUCUAACGGUCCUUACUACAUUUCGCUUGNCAGGGUGACUUGNGAGGCAGCGAGNNNNNNNNNNNNNNNNNNNNNNNNNNNNNNNNNNNNNNNNNNNNNNNNNNCGUUUGCCACAAGCCUGCAGCUGGCAGAGCCUGGCGCGGAGGCGUCUGCGAUUGACCGGCGAAAAAGGGAAAGGGAAACUUGUUAAUCCAUGAUUGAUUUCUUUUCAGAACUAGCCAGAGACACAAUGGAUUUCAAGCUAAAUUGCGUUCCCCAAUCCACUUCGAACUGUAUGAAUGCGAAUGAAUAAUCUUAUUAGGGACAAUAAUACGGCACGGGAGUUUCAUGCCCUCAAAGCGGGAACAAACACUAAAACUGAAUACAUACAUAGUUCUAAAUCUUCUACUAAAAUUUUCCUGCAGCGUUAGAGGCCUUUAAUUCAUAUUGGCGAACGAUGCUUCCCGAGCUACCGGGAUACUGUAGGUUCAACAUGUACACGUAACAUGUACAUUUACAGAAAUGUACUAAAAUGAAUUCACGAAGUGUGCAGCAAAUAAGAUAAGUAGCCUAUAGGCCCAUGUCCAUAGUCCAGGGCAACGGAGGGGGUUACCCUGGGGCCGUGUUACCCCUCCUGCUGGGUAGGAACUUACAAGGGGGUUACCAAUGGGCUACAGGGGGUUGAAGGUGGGUAACCGAUGGGUAACCCAUGGGUUACCGACCCAAUCAGUGCCUUAGGGCUGCUGCCACGCUGGGCGCCACUGCUGCCGCCACGCUGGGUGUCGCUGCUGCCGCCACGCUGGCCGCCACUGCUGCCGCCAUGCUGGCCGAUGCUGCUGCUGCUGCCGCUGGGCUUCGGGAUUUCGUAGGUCGCAGUCAGCACCUUGCUGAUGCGACCACUGCUAUGAAAUGCAGCCAUCUCUGGCGGGUAGGCAUCCAGGAACUUCUGCUGAUCCAGN